AGUUAAAAGUUUUAUCAAUUUGUAUUGUUAAAAACUAGUGUGGUUGAUGGAAUAAUCAAAUAGUGACAUGUGACAUGCCACAUUAAUCUCAUAUUGACGUAUAUGGACUAAUUUUUAACAAUAGAAAUGGAUUAAAGUUUUAACA
rfam:Gossypium hirsutum cultivar TM-1 chromosome 4, whole genome shotgun sequence